rnacentral:misc_RNA from 1 species
GCCAUAUCUUAAUUCCAAAGGCAAUAAUAUUUGAAGUGAUAAGGUCCCAGAAAUGAGUGCCCCCCCUUACACUUUCUUCCACCACCACACAUGUUGAUCAUACGAAUGAAGCAUGCAGCGCCUCCAAGGAGCAAGCAAUGUUUUUAUUGAACAAGCAGGGCCUGCCCUAGACAAUUUCCAAAGGUGGGCAUGUUUCAAUAUUCACUUGCAAUGACAGGAGGCAUAUGAUUUCCAUUUCCCUUUUUUUUUCUCUAUUCUUUUCUGAUUUGAUACACUGCAAUGAUGAGUGAUUUCACCAAGUUGUUUGUGGUUGUCCAUCACCAAUAGCUCACAUGUGA